UACGAAGGGGGCUAGCGUUGCUCGGAAUGACUGGGCGUAAAGCGCACGUAGGCGGCUUUGUAAGUUAGAGGUGAAAGCCCGGGGCUCAACCCCGGAAUUGCCUUUAAGACUGCAUCGCUUGAAUCCAGGAGAGGUGAGUGGAAUUCCGAGUGUAGAGGUGAAAUUCGUAGAUAUUCGCAAGAACACCAGUGGCGAAGGCGGCUCACUGGCCCGGUACUGACGCUGAGGUGCGAAAGCGUGGGGAGCAAACAGG
rnacentral:rRNA from 1 species